AUGGCCUGGACCCCUCUCGUGCUUGUCCUCACUCCCUGCACAUGUUCCCUCUUCCAGGCUGGGCUGACCCAGGUGUCCUCACUCCCAGCAUCUUCAUGCAGAUCAAACACUCACCUGCACUCAGAGCAUAUCGGCUUUCAUAUCGGUGGCAAAAAUACCUUCUUUUCCCUACAGAAUCCAGGGAGCCCUCCAACUAUGUUCUGAGAUUAUGCUCAGGCUAAAAUGAGUACCAGGCCUCUGGGGUCCCCAGACAAUUCUCUGGGUUGAGAGGCUCCUCCAGAGUCUCAAGUUAUUUGGUCGUCUCUGGCCUUCACCUUGAGGAUGGAGCAGAUCAUCUCUCUCAGAUGGGCUGACAGGGCAUGGCUUA